rnacentral:lncRNA from 1 species
GCAUUCUCUCUAUCGGAGCUAGUAUAGAACAAGCAACUGUAUCUCCCGUGGCAAUUUUCUUCUCCAAUCACAAGUUGAUAAGGUUCGUAAUUCAUAUUUAAUUUGAGAAAAUUGCGACGUUUGAUUAAAUAGCUUGAAUUUAACAAAGGAUUCUUCGUAUUGAAUUUUCAGAUAAGGUUUUCGACAAUGAGCCUCAAAGAUCAGAAAGCAAAAUUUGAGUUCAAGGUAAAUACCCAAUCAGAUCGCAAAUUGAUUGACUAAUAACAAACCAUCAUGAAAUGUACUAAGUUUCACAAAACAUUUGAGUGUUACAGAAAUAUAAGUAACUGAAAUAAAAACAUAACUGAUACAAAAUUUAAACAUUAGAGACAAUAAGACAGAUAAGGUGGUUUGGUACUAAGAUCUGAAUCAUGUACAACAAAUAAAUGUGAAGAAAGUUGUUAAAUUUCAUCUUCCAUCACCAUUUAAGAUGGUGUGAGAGAUGAACAUUGAGUUGUUGGUAGAGGGAGGAGAGACUAAUGGUACUGAUGCUGAUGAGGUUACUGAAGUGGAAGUGAUUGCCAAACCAGGUAUUCCCAUUACCAUCGGAGUGGAAACUCCGAUUCCGGGAGUAUCUGGAGAGAAAUCAGGCAAUGCUUGGUCUCUGUUUAUGUAUUGCAUCACUUUUUCCAUGUUAGGUCUUGAUUCUGGUAUAAUGCUUGUACAGAGCAAACCGAGCUUCAGAACCAUUUCGACUUCCCCGAGUGUAAAUUUAUCUCUCAACCGUGUAUCUAUAGCGUCAACUAGAGAAUGUUUCCUCCAGCAUUCACAAACCCAUUUGACCAGAUGUCGUUUCUCUACUGGCAUCUCAGGAUCAAAUGGUCUCCUACCACAUGUUACUUCAAGCAUGAAUGCACCAAAUGCAUACACAUCGGUUUUUGUGGAAGUUCCUGUUGAUAUUAACUCCAGAGCCAUGUAACCUAUGGUUCCUACAGCUGCUGUUGCAGAGAGGUUAGCUCCAUGAUCAUCAAACCUAGCACAAAAUCUCCUAAAAAAGCUUGAAAAUUUUCGUUUAACAUGACAUUAGAAGCUUUGAUAUCUCUGUGUAAAACAACUUGACUGGCUCCUGUAUGCAGGUAACAGAGUGCAGAUGCAAUAUCUCUCAGUAUUGCGAGUCUUUGAGACCAAGAGAGAGGUGGUUUAUCGCCAUUAAACAAGUAUUGAUCGACGCUACCUCCUUCCAUGUACUUAGAGACCAGCAAUAACUCGCCUUUUCUCCUGCAAUACCCGAGAAGAGGUACUAAAUUCUUGUGCUGUAAGCUCCCCAUUGUCACAACUUCAGCCACAAACUGUUUCAUGCCUUGCUCUGCAUUGUGUGAUAGUCUCUUCACAGCUAUAUCUCCUACUAGAGGCAGACUUCCUUUAUACACUUCUCCAAAACCGCCUUUUCCAAGACGUCCGUCUUUGUUAAACCCUUUUGUUGCUUUGUACAAAGAUUCAUAGGAAUAACGAAGCGGACCAUAUUCUUUUUCCCAUGGCUCUCUAACUUCUGCAUACUUCUUUCUUCUGUACAGAUAAUAUCCUCCAAGACCCCCGAUCACUACGAGGGUGAGUAUAACCAAAAGAACAAUAAGCAGAGGAGAUCUUUUUCUCUUCUGUUCCGUGAAAAGAGG